CAUAUGGAGAAGAAUAUGGAAAAGAAUGUAUAUAAAUGUAUAACUGAAUCACUUUUCUGUACAGCAGAAAUUAACACAACAUUGUAAAUCAACUAGAAUAAAACAAAUUUUUAAAAAAUCACAAUGUUUAAAACUUCAUUCAUAUUCCUAUCAAAAAUAAAAGAGAUUAGUGUUGUGGGUAAAACAUUAGUUUGGGUUUUAGUCUUAUUUAUUGAAAAACUACUCUGUUGGGAAAUGCUUUUUCUCAUCUGCCUCUUUUUUUUCUUAUAGGGGGUAUACAAGUAAUAUUUGUUGUACGUGCCACUAGGUUAUUAUGAGGAUUAAGUGUGUACAGUUGUAAAAUGGAUGAAAUAUUCAGAAACUGCUGAUGCAGGUGUCAUGAGUAUUAGUUGCAGUAUAACAUUUCUGUUUUUUAAGGUGACCCAAGCCCACCUUUUGUAUGCAGUGAUGGCUCUCUGUUGCAGGCUUUGGAGAUAAUAGACACUGAACCUAAUUAACUGAAGUUUUGGAGACAGUGCUGGAACAGUCAGGCGUUACUCAGGCCCUUCUGCUCACACUACAAGUUAUGGUCAUGCUUUGCAUGAAGGUCAAGUAAGGUUGCCUCUUGUCCUUGCUACUAUUGGGGUGGCCAAAAAGUUUGUUUAUUUCUCCAUACGAUGACUCUGGUAGCACUUAAUUGUCUUUAACUUCAUUGGAAAUAGUUUUGUUGGAUUAUAUUGUUAUCAGUGUGUGUUUUUUAAAAAACUUAGCCAAAUUGCUGAAUUUUUGUGAAGCCAUUUUAAUGUUGAAGAUGGAAGAAAAAAAGCAACAUUUUCAGCAUAUUAUGUUUUAUUGUUUCAAGAGAGGUGAAAAUGCAACUGAAAUGCAAAAAAGGAUUUGUGCAGUAUGUGGAGAAGGUACUGUGACUGAUUGUGUCAGAAGUGGUUUGCAAACUUUUGUACUGGAGACUUACCGCUGGAUGAUGCUGUUUGGUCAGGUAGACCAAUUGAAGUUAAUAGCGAUCAAAUCGAGACAUUGAUUGAAAAAAAUCAAUGUUAUAUACCACGCAAGAGAUAGUCAACAUACUCAAAAUAUCCAGAUCAAGCGUUGAAAAUCCUUUGCACCAGCUUGGUUAUGUUAACCACUUUGAUGUUUGGGUUCCACAUAAGUUAAGUGUAAAAAAAAAAACCUUCUUGACCGUAUUUCCGCAUGUGAUUCUCUAUACUUAAACAUAACAAAAUUGUUCACUUUUAAAACGAAUUGUGACGGAUGAUGAAAGUGGAUACUGUACAGUAAUGUGGAAUGGAAGAGAUCUUGGGACAAGUGAAAUGAACCACCCAUCAACCACCCCAAAAGCCGAUCUUCAUCCAAAGCUGGUGAUGUUGUAUAUGUGGUGGGGUUGAAAGAGAGUCCUCUGUAGUGAGUUCCUUCUGGAAAACUAAAUGAUUUAAUCCCAACAAGUACAGCUCCCGGUUGGACCAACUGAAAGAAGCGCUCCAGAGUUAGUCAACAGAAAAUGGGGAUAAUCCUCCACCAGGAUAACACAAGACCGGAUGUUUCUUUGAUGACCAGGCAAAAACUGUUUAACACCUUGGCUGGGAAGUUCUGAUUCAUCUGCCAAAUUCACCAGACAUUGUACCUUCGGAUAUCUGUUUAUUUUGAUCUUUUGAAAUUAUCUUAGUGGAAAAAACGUCGGUUUCCUGUAAGACUGUAAAGGCACCUGGAACAGUUCUUUACUCAGAAAGAAAAAUUGUUGGGAAAAUAGAAUUGUGAAAUUGCUUGGAAAAUGGCCGGAUGUAGUAGAACAAAACAGUAAUACGUUGUUCAAUAAAGAUCUUGGUGAAAAUGAAAAAUGUGUCUUUUAUUUUUACUUAAAAACAGAAGGAACUUUUUGACCAACCCAAUACUAUUUUGGUAAGAGCUGUAUUUUUAUUUUUCUCCUGUGUACUGAGCAUUGCAUUGAAUUCUAAA